rnacentral:rRNA from 1 species
CCCUUAGAUGUUCUGGGCUGCACGCGCGCUACACUGAUGCACUCAACGAGUUUACGACCUUGCCCGAUAGGGUUGGGUAAUCUUUUUAAAAUGCAUCGUGAUGGGGAUAGAUUAUUGCAAUUAUUAAUCUUCAACGAGGAAUUCCUAGUAAGCGCGAGUCAUCAGCUCGUGCUGAUUACGUCCCUGCCCUUUGUACACACCGCCCGUCGCUCCCACCGAUUGAGUGCUCAGGUGAAUAAUUCGGACUGCAGCAAUGUUUGGAUCCCGAACGUUGCAGCGGAAAGUUUAGUGAACCUUAUCACUUAGAGGAAGGAGAAGUCGUAACA